rnacentral:rRNA from 1 species
ACUCCUACGGGUGGCUGCAGUGGGGAAUAUUGGACAAUGGACCAAGAGUCUGAUCCAGCAAUUCUGUGUGCACGAUGAAGUUUUUCGGAAUGUAAAGUGCUUUCAGUUGGGAAGAAAAAAAUGACGGUACCAACAGAAGAAGUGACGGCUAAAUACGUGCCAGCAGCCGCGGUAAUACGUAUGUCACGAGCGCUAUCCGGAUUUAUUGGGCGUAAAGCGCGUCUAGGUGGUUAUGUAAGUCUGAUGUGAAAAUGCAGGGCUCAACUCUGUAUUGCGUUGGAAACUGUAUAACUAGAGUACUGGAGAGGUAAGCGGAACUACAAGUGUAGAGGUGAAAUUCGUAGAUAUUUGUAGGAAUGCCGAUGGGGAAGCCAGCUUACUGGACAGAUACUGACGCUGAAGCGCGAAAGCGUGGGUAGCAAACAGGAUUAGAUACCCUGGUAGUCCACGCCGUAAACGAUGAUUACUAGGUGUUGGGGGUCGAACCUCAGCGCCCAAGCAAACGCGAUAAGUAAUCCGCCUGGGGAGUACGUACGCAAGUAUGAAACUCAAAGGAAUUGACGGGGACCCGCACAAGCGGUGGAGCAUGUGGUUUAAUUCGACGCAACGCGAGGAACCUUACCAGCGUUUGACAUCUUAGGAAUGAGACAGAGAUGUUUCAGUGUCCCUUCGGGGAAACCUAAAGACAGGUGUUGCAUGGAUGUCGUCAGCUCGUG